rnacentral:rRNA from 4 species
UAAGGUGAUUAUAGCGAUGGGGCUCACCUCUUACCAUUCCGAACAGAGAAGUUAAGCCCAUUUGCGCCGAUGGUACUACAUUGUGGGAGAGUAGGUCGUCGCCUUUU